UACAGAGGGUGCGAGCGUUGUCCGGAAUCACUGGGCGUAAAGGGCGCGUAGGUGGCUUGGUAAGCGUGUGGUGAAAGCCUGGGGCUCAACCCCAGGUCUGCCGUGCGAACUGCCAAGCUUGAGCAUAGUAGAGGCAGGUGGAAUUUCGGGUGUAGCGGUGGAAUGCGUAGAUAUCCGAAAGAACACCGGUGGCGAAGGCGGCCUGCUGGGCUAUUGCUGACACUGAGGCGCGACAGCGUGGGGAGCAAAC
rnacentral:rRNA from 1 species